rnacentral:rRNA from 1 species
GCGGCGCGCCUAACACAUGCAAGUCGAGCGAGAAGGAAGCAAUUCCUGUAAAGCGGCGCACGGGUGAGUAACACGUAGGUAAUCUACCUCGAAGUGGUGGAUAACCUUCCGAAAGGAGGGCUAAUACAGCAUGAGACCACGGUUUCGAAAGAGAUUGAGGUCAAAGCGGGCCACUAUACAUAAGCUCGCGCUUCGAGAUGAGCCUGCGGCCCAUCAUGGUAGUUGGUAGGGUAAUGGCCUACCAAGCCGAAGACGGGUAGCUGGUCUGAGAGGAUGAUCAGCCACACUGGGACUGAGACACGGUCCAGACUCCUACGGGAGGCAGCAGUGGGGAAUAUUGCGCAAUGGGGGCAACCCUGACGCAGCAAUACCGCGUGAGUGAAGAAGGCCUUCGGGUUGUAAAGCUCUUUCAGUUGAGAAGAAAAAGUCGUGACUAAUAAUCAUGAUCCAUGACGGUAUCAACAGAAGAAGCACCGGCUAACUACGUG